GGACGGUUAGCUCAGUUGGCUAGAGCGUUACAUUGACAUUGUAAAGGUCAGAGGUUCAAGUCCUCUACCGUCCA
rnacentral:tRNA from 1 species